rnacentral:rRNA from 1 species
ACGUAGGUGGCAAGCGUUGUCCGGAAUUAUUGGGCGUAAAGCGCGCGCAGGCGGUCCUUUAAGUCUGUCGUGAAAGCCCUGGGCUCAACCUGGGAAUUGCGAUGGAUACUGGGCGACUAGAGUGUGGUAGAGGGUGGCGGAAUUCCCGGUGUAGCAGUGAAAUGCGUAGAGAUCGGGAGGAACAUCUGUGGCGAAGGCGGCCACCUGGGCCAACACUGACACUGAGGCACGAAAGCGUGGGGAGCAAACAGGA